rnacentral:rRNA from 1 species
GACGAACGCUGGCGGCGUGCUUAACACAUGCAAGUCGAACGGAAAGGCGCUGCGUUUGUUGGGUGCUCGAGUGGCGAACGGGUGAGUAACACGCGAGGAACCUGCCCUUGACUUUGUGGUAACUUCAGGAAACUGGGGCUAAUACCGGAUAGGAUCUCCUGCUGCAUGGUGUGGGUUGGAAAGUGUCGGCGGUGCUGGAUGGACUCGCGGGUUAUCCGCUGGUUUGUGUGGUAGGUGCUUACCAAGGCUUUGACGGCUAGCCUGCAUGAGAGGGUGACCGGCCACAUGGGGCCUGCGAGAGGGAGCAGACGCGAACGGGAGGCAGUAGUGGGGAGUCUUGCAGAAUAGGCGGAAGCGUGAUGCAGCAGCGCUGCGUGCGGGAUGCUGGCUUUCGAGUGAUAAACCACUUUGGAAUGUACCGAAGAGUGAGUGACGGUAAUGAGUAAAGAAGCCACGGCUAACUACGUG